AGCAUUUGUGUGUGGUUUUGUUCAUCAAAAACAUAGGCAGGGAAGACAGAUGAAAAACUAAAUCCUCUUUUGCAAUCCAUAACUCAUUGCUCAAUAUGAGUUGUGAUACAUACAUGAAGAAAUACG
ensembl:snoRNA